rnacentral:rRNA from 1 species
GACGAACGCUGGCGGCGUGCCUAAUACAUGCAAGUCGAACGCAGUGGGGACGGGUGAGUAACACGUGGGUAACCUCCCAUCAGAGGGGAUAACACUUGGAAACAGGUGCUAAACCGAUACUGAUGGAUGAACUCGCGGUGCAUUAGCUAGUUGGUGAGGUAACGGCGCACCAAGGCCACGAUGCAUAGCCGACCUGAGAGGGUGAUAGACCAAACUGGGACUGAGAAACGGACCAGACUCCUACGGGAGGCAGCAGUGGGGAAUCGUCGGCAAUGGACGAAAGUCUGACCAAGCAACGCCGCGUGAGUGAAGAAGGUUUUCGGAUCGUAAAACUCUGUAGUUGGAGAAGCGGUAACUAACCAGAAAGCCACGGCUAACUACGUGCCAGCAGCCGCGGUAAUAC